UAUUAAAGGUUAUUUUUACAAGAUCUAAGAAUAACUUCUAAAGUCUGUCUUAAAAGAUCUUCUCCUCUUUGUAGAAAUACUCCCAAGGGCUUUUUAUUGUUUAAGAUAAAUUUGAUGGAGGUCUAGUUUACAUAUGUAAAAUGCACUCAUCCUAAGGUACCAAGGUGACUUGGUAAAUGUGCACACCUGAGCACCCACUGUCCACUCCAGGCUCACAGUCCAGUUCUCUCCUGGCACUUCCCAGUCCAUUUGCCUCCCACUGUUGACCUGGGCAACCACUGACUCCUUCUUAUCACUGUUGAUUCCGCUCUUCUGGAGCCUUACAUGAUAAAUCCUGGGUGUCUAGCUCUUUCAUGCAGCACACAUUUUAGAUCCACUGCAAAAUGGUAUGUGUCAGUCUCCUAUUUCCACAAAUCCCAGAAGGAGACUCCAUUCUGGACAGGACAUUCAUGAAUGCUUCAAUUCCACAACUCAGCCUGCCUGGGGAGGCAGGAGGCUGGAAAGUUCAAGGCCAGCCUCAGCAACCUAGCAAGGCCCUGUCGCAAAAUUUAAAGAUAAAUAAAAAGACUUGCAGGUUUAUGAAUACAGAAGGGAGAACACUGGGCCGGACUGGGGAGGUCGGGCCCCUGGCAGCCAAAACCCCUGGGCCAUGAGCCCGCAGCGGGCUGAAUUGCUCCUCAGGCAGCAGCAGGGAGGAGCACCAGCUGCAGCCCAUGCGGGGAUCCCUGGCCCUGCAGGGUGGGUACAUUGGUCUUUGCCGGUCUAGGCCUGAGGCUCUCGGGUCCACUGUGGUACUGGCCAGUGGCUCAGGGGUGGAGCAUUCUUGCGAAAGUCCGCACUGUGCUCAGAUGAGAUUUUUGAGCCCAUCAUACUGCUCCCCUUGGCAGCCACUGGAAAGGAGAUGUGUCCUCUCUGUCUUCCUGAAAUUCCUGCCCUGAAGCGCCUGCGACAAGACUGGACUCCUCCUGUCGGCCUGCCCUGCAGCUGUCCUCAGGGAGCUAAGAGCAGAACUAGAGUCCUGGCGGCUCUGCCUCCAUUUUGCAUCCAGCUCUUGGGCUCUGGGUCCCCUUGGAUUCCAGAGAGCCCCCCAACUUGGGCAGCAGCAGCAGCUUCUGGUCCUGGACAGGCCCUGCCUGGGUGCUCAGAUGGGAUUAGAUCUGUGGUGGGCAGCAGUGAGAGUCCUCCAGCUGAG
rnacentral:lncRNA from 1 species